AAAAGUGAGGUUAAAAAAAGUUGUCUUGUUUGAGUAUUCAUUAAUUCAACAAACCUUUAUUGAACAUUUAUUGCAUCUCAGGAACUGUGCUAGGUGCUAUGAAGAAUGUAAGAAUGCAGUUAAAUGCUCAAGUGAAUCACCAGAAUAGAAUAUAAGCCUUCUAUAUAAUUAUAGUAGAUGUGCUAACCAGCUGAAGCUUUUAAGCAAUCAUGAACAUUGAACAUUCACCAACUAUGGCUGAUAAAUGAAUGUGAAUUUUGAGUGACUCCAGGAUUUUGGACCAUUACUGAACACAAUUGAAGACUCUUUCUCUUUUUUUUAUUUCAAAAAGUAUUUUAAUUGUUCAAAAUAGCACAAAACGACAUCGCGCUAUGGUAAUACUGAGUCACAGGGAUUACUCUACAAUAGUGAACGGUGUACUCUUCUCAGAAACGAGAAAUCAAAGGGCGCGCGGGAGAAGAGAUGGG
rnacentral:lncRNA from 10 species